rnacentral:tRNA from 1 species
GGGGGUGAAGCUAAGUGGUAGAACCCUUGCCUAGGAUGCAAGAGGUCCUGGGUUCAAUUCCCAGCACUGCAA